rnacentral:tRNA from 1 species
GGGUGUGUAGCUCAGUUGGUAGAGCUUCCGACUCUUAAUCGGAAAGUCGCAGGUUCGAGUCCUGCCGCACCCACAA